UACAGAGGAUGCAAGCGUUAUCCGGAAUUAUUGGGCGUAAAGAGCUCGUAGGCGGUCUGUCGCGUCGGCUGUGAAAACCCGGAGCUCAACUCCGGGCCUGCAGUCGAUACGGGCAGACUGGAGUUCGGCAGGGGAGACUGGAAUUCCUGGUGUAGCGGUGAAAUGCGCAGAUAUCAGGAGGAACACCGGUGGCGAAGGCGGGUCUCUGGGCCGAUACUGACGCUGAGGAGCGAAAGCGUGGGGAGCGAACAGG
rnacentral:rRNA from 1 species